GAAUAUUCCGCAAUGGGCGAAAGCCUGACGGAGCAAUGCCGAGUGCAGGAUGAAGCGGCUUCGCCGUGUAAACUGCUGUCAGGGGUUAGAAACACUGAUCGACCCCAGAGGAAGAGGCGGCUAACUCUGUGCCAGCAGCCGCGGUAAUACGUAGGGGGCGAGCGUUGUCCGGAUUUAUUGGGCGUAAAGGGCGUGUAGGCGGUUUUUUAAGUCAGGGGUGAAACCCCGGGGCUCAACCCCGGGCCUGCCUCUGAAACUGGGAGACUUGAGUACCCUAGAGGACAGUGGAAUUGCCGGUGUAGCAGUGAAAUGCGUAGAGAUCGGCAGGAACACCAGUGGCGAAGGCGACUGUCUGGGGGGAAACUGACGCUGAGGCGCGAAAGCUGGGGGAGCAA
rnacentral:rRNA from 1 species